UACAGAGGCUGCAAGCGUUAAUCGGAAUUACUGGGCGUAAAGCGCACGUAGGCGGUUUUUUAAGUCAGAUGUGAAAGCCCCGGGCUCAACCUGGGAAUUGCAUUUGAAACUGGGAAACUAGAGUGUGUGAGAGGGGGGUAGAAUUCCAAGUGUAGCGGUGAAAUGCGUAGAGAUUUGGAGGAAUACCAGUGGCGAAGGCGGCCCCCUGGCACAACACUGACGCUCAGGUGCGAAAGCGUGGGGAGCAAACAGG
rnacentral:rRNA from 1 species